CAGUGAGAUACUAGAGGCACUGGAGCUAUGAGGUGUGGGGCUGCUCCGGGAGGGGUUUGAUGUGUUGCAUCAGACACAGGGGAGGAUAUGGCCUGCUCCGCACAGAACCAGGCCCGUUCAGAACCAGGCUCAUUCAGAACCAGGCCUGUUCAGAACCAGGCCCGUGCAGAACCAGGCUCGUUCAGAACCAGGCUCGUUCAGAACCAGGUCCGUCCAGAGCCAAGGGCCAAGUUUGUCGCUGGAGCCCACCUUCUUCUCCUCAGAGCUCCAUGGAGGACGACAAGCAAAAAGAUGAAAGAAAAGUGAAUGGUCGAAAUUAUCUAUUUGAAUAUGUUAAAACUUUGAAAAGACACACACACUAAUAAGAAACCAAGUUGUUCUUGAUGUUAAAAUACAUGUAGAGUUUGAGAAAAAAAAAUUCUGUAGAAAUUUAUCAAAUAUUGUAUUCUCAUAAUGUAUUUUAAAUUAACAGUUUUAUCUAUGGUAAUAGUGUGAAACAAAAUUCAAUGAGAGUCUUUAUGAAAAUGCGGAGAAAUGUUAAUUGCAAUAACAAAAAUCUAUAUAAACGGAAUAAUAUAAUUAACAUAAAAACAGUUUAAUCAAUUUGUAUUUAAAUCAAAUAAAUAUUUUGUAGAAGUAGUUA